rnacentral:rRNA from 1 species
UACGUAGGGUGCGAGCGUUGUCCGGAAUUAUUGGGCGUAAAGAGCUCGUAGGCGGUUUGUUGCGUCUAUCGUGAAAACCUGCAGCUUAACUGUGGGCUUGCGGUGGAUACGGGCAGACUUGAGUUCGGUAGGGGAGACUGGAAUUCCUGGUGUAGCGGUGAAAUGCGCAGAUAUCAGGAGGAACACCGGUGGCGAAGGCGGAUCUCUGGGCCGUAACUGACGCUGAGGAGCGAAAGCAUGGGGAGCGAACAGG